ensembl:lncRNA
AUCUGAAAAACCUAGAAAAGUUAAAGUUACACUACACACCAGGCUAUACAGCCUUUACCACCAGUACGAUUUGUUAGCAUCUCUCCAGCACUUCUGGACCGAGCUUUAAUGAGAAUGCAGUGUUACAACUACAAUAUGUAGCUUUUACUGACUUCUACCAAAUUGAAUGCAAGUAAUGGCAUAAAUCACCUCGUAAGAUUAACUGGCCACUUGUGAAAUUGCACAAAUGUCAGACAUUCACCCUGUGCCCAUACCAAUGAUAUUAACAGUUGGCACAUACAGUGGAAAAAUCCUGUCCUGUACUCAGGCAACUUCUUAGUUACCUAAAAUUAGGACCCUUUCGUCGCUGGUCCUAUAAGUAGCACAAACUCAGUAGCAAAAUUUCUUCUUGGUCGGGAACAUGGAACAUCCUGGUGGCGCCGUGUGUUAUUUGGUGAUCGCUCUAGUUAGGGCUAUAUCACACUAUACUACAAGGUGACCCGUACAGGAUGAGAAUAUCAUGAAACUAUUUGUUUCAUCUUAAUAUAUCGUCGUUUGAAAUGGUAAGCUUAAUGCUCACUUGUAGAUUCGAAACUGCUAGUAACGUAUAGAUUCCAAACUGCUACUACCCAGCUAUGCUAACUCUUACUUGGCUGCGCGGUGAUUUGAAAUGUGAAAUCCGCUGUGAUUGCCUUGUCGGCAAAUCUAACAGUUUUCAAUUAUGCAUUUAAUAAAUUAAUUGAAUUUCCAUAGUAACAAGAGAAUUUGCUACAUGGUGAGUUUACCCUAGAAUUGCCCUGUUUUAGAGAGGGCCCACGUGUUUGCCAUGCGGUGAAACAUUAGCCAGAUUCCAUUUGACCAAUCUAUAACGGUAGUAGUUUGCAGGCUAGGUAUGUAGCAGUUCGUAAUGUGUGUUAAAGGAUGACAGCACAAGACUAUAUAGUCUCUGAUACAGCAUGAUGGUCUUUCACAGUGCACUGAAAACGCAUGUUUAUACACCAACGAUUAUCACUGUAAUGUCACUUAUGAACGGUCAUCAGUGUUUCAACCUUCUUUCAGCAGUCUGCCGGGUAUGGAGGCUCUUGUGACUAUGGGCUCAAGCAAACCUUGGCAAAUUUUGUGCCCCCCUUAUCACCAGGCCUUCCACACACUCAACUGGUAAAGCCCAGUUACUGGACCUGGAGACCGGAUGUCUGUCUUUACAGUGGCUUGCAGGAGGGCAAGGUUCUUUCAUUUAAAGAUUGACUUGGAUGGAAUCAUGGUCUGUCUACAACCAAGCUAAAAGCUCCAGGUGUGAAGUUAUGAGGUGUUCCUGUACCUGGAAUGUGAUGUCGGUCUUUACAGGGGCUUGCAGGAGGGGAAGGUCCUUUCAUUUCAAGAUUGACUUGGAUGGAAUCAUGGUCAGUCUACGAUCAAGCUAGAAGCUCCAGUUGUGAAGUCAUGAGGUGUUGCUGUUAUGAAGAUCUACAUUAACUGCACUGGGACCCAACAACCUCCAAGACUCAUAAAUUCGAAAUAAAUUUCUUUAAAUUGAAUUGUGUGUGUGUGUGUUUUAACUGAAGUGGUGUUGGUUUGUAGAUUGUCCACUUAUGAUGCAGCUGCAGUAAACGCAGAACACAAGUGUUUUAUCUAAUGUUUUGUGACUCUCUUUGAAGCUUCUGCUAGAUACGUUGAUCAAUAUACAUUUCUGAUUCUGACAUAAGUAAUUGUUAUAGGCGGAUGUCUAAGAUUAUACGUUUAAAGUGUACAU